rnacentral:rRNA from 1 species
CCUUUAAAGAAAGCGUAAUAGCUCACUAGUCGAGUCGGCCUGCGCGGAAGAUGUAACGGGGCUCAAACCACACACCGAAGCUGCGGGUGUCACGUAAGUGACGCGGUAGAGGAGCGUUCUGUAAGCCUGUGAAGGUGAGUUGAGAAGCUUGCUGGAGGUAUCAGAAGUGCGAAUGCUGACAUGAGUAACGACAAUGGGUGUGAAAAACACCCACGCCGAAAGACCAAGGGUUCCUGCGCAACGUUAAUCGACGCAGGGUUAGUCGGUUCCUAAGGCGAGGCUGAAAAGCGUAGUCGAUGGGAAACAGGUUAAUAUUCCUGUACUUCUGGUUACUGCGAUGGAGGGACGGAGAAGGCUAGGCCAGCUUGGCGUUGGUUGUCCAAGUUUAAGGUGGUAGGCUGAAAUCUUAGGUAAAUCCGGGGUUUCAAGGCCGAGAGCUGAUGACGAGUCGUCUUUUAGAUGACGAAGUGGUUGAUGCCAUGCUUCCAAGAAAAGCUUCUAAGCUUCAGGUAACCAGGAACCGUACCCCAAACCGACACAGGUGGUCGGGUAGAGAAUACCAAGGCGCUUGAGAGAACUCGGGUGAAGGAACUAGGCAAAAUGGCACCGUAACUUCGGGAGAAGGUGCGCCGGCUAGGGUGAAGGAUUUACUCCGUAAGCUCUGGCUGGUCGAAGAUACCAGGCCGCUGCGACUGUUUAUUAAAAACACAGCACUCUGCAAACACGAAAGUGGACGUAUAGGGUGUGACGCCUGCCCGGUGCCGGAAGGUUAAUUGAUGGGGUUAGCGCAAGCGAAGCUCUUGAUCGAAGCCCCGGUAAACGGCGGCCGUAACUAUAACGGUCCUAAGGUAGCGAAAUUCCUUGUCGGGUAAGUUCCGACCUGCACGAAUGGCGUAACGAUGGCGGCGCUGUCUCCACCCGAGACUCAGUGAAAUUGAAAUCGCUGUGAAGAUGCAGUGUAUCCGCGGCUAGACGGAAAGACCCCGUGAACCUUUACUGUAGCUUUGCACUGGACUUUGAGCCUGCUUGUGUAGGAUAGGUGGGAGGCUUUGAAGCGUGGACGCCAGUUCGCGUGGAGCCAUCCUUGAAAUACCACCCUGGCAUGCUUGAGGUUCUAACUCUGGUCCGUAAUCCGGAUCGAGGACAGUGUAUGGUGGGCAGUUUGACUGGGGCGGUCUCCUCCUAAAGAGUAACGGAGGAGUACGAAGGUGCGCUCAGACCGGUCGGAAAUCGGUCGCAGAGUAUAAAGGCAAAAGCGCGCUUGACUGCGAGACAGACACGUCGAGCAGGUACGAAAGUAGGUCUUAGUGAUCCGGUGGUUCUGUAUGGAAGGGCCAUCGCUCAACGGAUAAAAGGUACUCCGGGGAUAACAGGCUGAUACCGCCCAAGAGUUCAUAUCGACGGCGGUGUUUGGCACCUCGAUGUCGGCUCAUCACAUCCUGGGGCUGAAGCCGGUCCCAAGGGUAUGGCUGUUCGCCAUUUAAAGUGGUACGCGAGCUGGGUUUAGAACGUCGUGAGACAGUUCGGUCCCUAUCUGCCGUGGACGUUUGAGAUUUGAGAGGGGCUGCUCCUAGUACGAGAGGACCGGAGUGGACGAACCUCUGGUGUUCCGGUUGUCACGCCAGUGGCAUUGCCGGGUAGCUAUGUUCGGAAAAGAUAACCGCUGAAAGCAUCUAAGCGGGAAACUUGCCUCAAGAUGAGAUCUCACUGGGAACUUGAUUCCCCUGAAGGGCCGUCGAAGACUACGACGUUGAUAGGCUGGGUGUGUAAGCGUUGUGAGGCGUUGAGCUAACCAGUACUAAUUGCCCGUGAGGCUUGACCAU